UGGGGAAUUUUGGACAAUGGGCGAAAGCCUGAUCCAGCAAUGCCGCGUGUGUGAAGAAGGCCUUCGGGUUGUAAAGCACUUUUGUCCGGAAAGAAAUCCUUGGCUCUAAUACAGUCGGGGGAUGACGGUACCGGAAGAAUAAGCACCGGCUAACUACGUGCCAGCAGCCGCGGUAAUACGUAGGGUGCAAGCGUUAAUCGGAAUUACUGGGCGUAAAGCGUGCGCAGGCGGUUUGCUAAGACCGAUGUGAAAUCCCCGGGCGUCAACCUGGGAACUGCAUUGGUGACUGGCAGGCUAGAGUAUGGCAGAGGGGGGUAGAAUUCCACGUGUAGCAGUGAAAUGCGUAGAGAUGUGGAGGAAUACCGAUGGCGAAGGCAGCCCCCUGGCCAAGUACUGACGCUCAUGCACGAAAGCGUGGGGAGCAAACAGGAUUAGAUACCCUGGUAGUCCACGCCCUAAACGAUGUCAACUAGUUGUUGGGGAUUCAUUUCCUUAGUAACGUAGCUAACGCGUGAAGUUGACCGCCUGGGGAGUACGGUCGCAAGAUUAAAACUCAAAGGAAUUGACGGGGUCAUAGCUGUUUCCU
rnacentral:rRNA from 1 species